rnacentral:rRNA from 1 species
ACACAUGCAGUCGAGCGGAAACGAGUUAUCUGAACCUUCGGGGGACGAUAACGGCGUCGAGGGCGGACGGGUGAGUAAUGCCUAGGAAAUUGCCCUGAUGUGGGGGAUAACCAUUGGAAACGAUGGCUAAUACCGCAUGAUGCCUACGGGCCAAAGAGGGGGACCUUCGGGCCUCUCGCGUCAGGAUAUGCCUAGGUGGGAUUAGCUAGUUGGUGAGGUAAGGGCUCACCAAGGCGACGAUCCCUAGCUGGUCUGAGAGGAUGAUCAGCCACACUGGAACUGAGACACGGUCCAGACUCCUACGGGAGGCAGCAGUGGGGAAUAUUGCACAAUGGGCGCANGUGUANGCAGCCAUGCCGCGUGUGUGAAGAAGGCCUUCGGGUUGUAAAGCACUUUCAGUCGUGAGGAAGG